rnacentral:rRNA from 1 species
UGGAGAAUCCCAUGAACCAUCAAGUUUNUGAACGCAAGUUGCGCNUGAAGCCAUUAAGCCGAUGGUGACCUGCCUGGGCGUCACACGCCGUUGCCCCCCCAGCACCUCCAUUGGAAGCGUCGGUGAGCGGACGAUGGCUUUCAGUANGUCACCACACGUGGUUGGCACAAAUGUUUAGUCCCCGGNGACGAACGCCACGACAAUCGUUGGUUGUCAAACCUCGGUUGCUUGUUGUGCACUUUCACCGAGCUUUGGGUGGCUCACGAUGCUUAUUGCUUUACUUCGGCGGAGCCUCCAUUAAGCCGAUGGUGACCUGCCUGGGCGUCACACGCAGUUGCCCCCUCCCCGGCACCUCCUUUGGAAGCGUCGGUGAGCGAACGAUGGCUUUCA